GGUUCCCUUCAAAGAGCCGUAAAUCCCAUCACUACUAUUAAGAUUAUACAACCUAUGUGACUCUUGAGGCCAAACUUUCACAGCUUCAGCAAAUGGCACUACCUUUUCCAUUUGGAUUCAGUUAUGUCAGCCAUAUGUUCACCAAUCUCUGCAGAUAUUCGUUCUGAUAUUUUGUUUUUCUUGCUACACACGCCAUGAAUUGGCAUAAGCCACAACUGCAUUUUGCAACAAAGUGGAACCACGCCCACCUGAUACAGGCGCUCUGUCGCGUUACCGGGCGGGCUUUGGAGCCAGCCAGAAUCACGUGGGAAAUGACUCAAAAAUCUUCUUACAUGUCGAUAUAUCCGUCUUUGAGAAUUCCGAAAAGCGCCUUUAAAACAGUGUAAAAGCUUGUGAAGAAUAACUGGAUUGUGGCUUUGGAGAGAACUUUUCUGUGGAGGUGAGACUGAUGGGCUAAAUGGAGAAUUUAUACAACACACUGACUCCAUGAAGGAAAACUGAUUGCGGAUGGAGUCAAUCAAUGUAUGCUGUUUCCCCUGGACCUUCCUUGUGUGCCUUGGGCAUCUGACAGACCCGAUCCAGUGAAGUCAUCAUUCUCUUCAGAAUUUCUUCCUUCAUUUGUAUCUGUGAUGUAUGCUGUUUCCCCUGGACCUUCCUUGUGUGCCUUGGGCAUCUGACAGACCCGGUAGAGUCUUUAUUUCCAUCAGAGUCAGUCACUUCAUUUUGACUUGUGGCAAAUAUUGGAAUCUGGUUUAACUCUGCAUCAACAUUUGUGCCGCUGGAUUCUGCACAGACACAACACACAAUCAAAAGAAUAUAUAAUGUUUAGAAAAAGUGGAUGUUAACUGAGCAAAAACACAUUUUGAAACAUGUUGUCAAUCACAAAGAAAUGGAGCAUUUACAUAAAUAUGGAUAUUAAGAGCA